AAUAAAAUGGCCGAGGUUUAAAGCGAUAAAUUGUAAAUUUAUUAACGGGAAAUUUCUCUUUUAUU
rnacentral:tRNA from 1 species